CCUACGGGUGGCAGCAGUAGGGAAUCUUUCACAAUGGGCGAAAGCCUGAUGGAGCAACGCCGCGUGAAGGAUGAAGGCCUUCGGGUUGUAAACUGCUUUUAUAAGCGAGAAAUAUGAUGGUAACUUAUGAAUAAGGAUCGGCUAACUACCUGACAGAAGCCGCGGUCAUACGUAGGAUACGAGCAUUAUCCGGAGUGACUGGGUGUAAAGAGUUGCGUAGGUGGCAUAAUAAGUAGCUAGUGAAAUCUGGUGGCUCAACCAUUCAGACUAUUAGCUAAACUGUUAAGCUCGAGACCGUUAGGGGUAACUGGAAUUUCUAGUGUAGGAGUGAAAUCCGUAGAUAUUAGAAGGAACACCAAUAGCGUAGGCAGGUUGCUGGGACGGUUCUGACACUAAGGCACGAAAGCGUAGGGAGCAAACGGGAUUAGAUACCCGAGUAGUC
rnacentral:rRNA from 1 species